rnacentral:rRNA from 1 species
ACUCAAAGGAAUAGACGGGGGCCCGCACAAGCGGCGGAGCAUGUGGAUUAAUUCGAUGCAACGCGAAGAACCUUACCUGGGCUUGACAUGCGCCAGACAUCCCUAGAGAUAGGGCUUCCCUUGUGGUUGGUGUGCAGGUGGUGCAUGGCUGUCGUCAGCUCGUGUCGUGAGAUGUUGGGUUAAGUCCCGCAACGAGCGCAACCCUCGUUCCAUGUUGCCAGCAAGUAAAGUUGGGGACUCAUGGGAGACUGCCGGGGUCAACUCGGAGGAAGGUGGGGAUGACGUCAAGUCAUCAUGCCCCUUAUGUCCAGGGCUUCACACAUGCUACAAUGGCUAGUACAGAGGGCUGCGAGACCGUGAGGUGGAGCGAAUCCCUUAAAGCUGGUCUCAGUUCGGAUUGGGGUCUGCAACUCGACCCCAUGAAGUCGGAGUCGCUAGUAAUCGCAGAUCAGCAACGCUGCGGUGAAUACGUUCCCGGGCCUUGUACACACCGCCCGU